rnacentral:rRNA from 1 species
AGUCACUGACAUUAGAUACCCCCGUAGUCCCAGCCGUAAACUAUGCGCGUUAGGUGUAUCGGUGACCACGAGUUACCGAGGUGCCGAAGGGAAACCGUGAAACGUGCCGCCUGGGAAGUACGGUCGCAAGGCUGAAACUUAAAGGAAUUGGCGGGGGAGCACCACAACAGGUGGAGCCUGCGGUUUAAUUGGACUCAACACCGUAAAACUCACCAGGGAAGACUGUUACAUGAAGGCCGAGAUGAAGACUCUGCUAGAUUUUCAG